CUUUAAUCUCUGCUCUCACCACCUCCUCGGAGGGCUUCAGCGAGCACUUUCUGCAUCACAUGUCAUGCAUCACCCCCCUGCUGUCUCUCUCUCUCACUUUUUUUCUUCUUCUUCUUUUUCUACGCACUCGUUCUAACACACCCUAAAUGACACAAGUCAGCCUCUUUGCCAUUCUUCGCUCUCCAGCAACACAAACAGUAUCUCUCACUCACAACUUUGGAAACCAGCAAACGCUCUGAGCGGUCUGCAAAGCUUCCUGUCAUCCUAGUGAACACAAUUUAGAGUUUAACAAGGGCAGACUUCCUGUAACAUCUCCAGUAUCCUGAGUAUAAAAUUCACCAAUGGAUCUCCUGAUGACAAGUUCACAGCUGCUUUGAAAGCACCAGGAGUUUGUGACUGUAAAGUUCAGCCUGUAACUGAGACUCCAAACCAUCCAGGAAUUUUUUUUCUUUAAUUCAACUGUAACUUCUUCCUAAGGAGGUAAUGCACAUUUUUAAUUACAUUUAAUUGUAGCAAAGUCAGAUUUGUGUCAUUGCAACGAGUUAAAAGUGGACUGACAAUGAGUUCAGAAGCCCUACACAAAGUCUGUGGCAGACUCUCAGUUUCCAUUGUUUAAAAGUGCAAAGAGAGAAACAGCUUUCUGCUUUUGUGUUCCCUCAAGUGCACACACUGCAUUGUUUUAAGUGAUAAGGCACACCCUUGCUAAAAUAAACAGUGAAAGCUGCUCUUAAAGCUAAAAAUGUACCUAUUUUUAGAAGUGCUUGUUUUGUGUGUGUGUGUGAUAAACAGUGUUAAUGACUUUCUUGCCAAGAGUUUGAUAAAAAAAAAAAAAAUCAUAUUACUGUCAUAUGUAGAAAUAUGAAGAUGAUGCAGACAGUUAGCUUUGCUAAGCAGUGUUAGAAAAAAACACACAGCUUUUGUGUUUGAAAAAAGGCCUAAAGCAGCUGUAAAUCUUGCUUGCUUGCUAUUUCUUUUUUUAAUUUGCACCACAACGCAACUGUCAGAUUUAGUUUGUUGUGUCAGAAUGAUUCUUAGCUGGUGUUCUUGGGACCAAAGCAAACUGUAAUGCAGCAAACGACUGAAACAAACUUUCAAAAGUGGAUAUAAGUGCCAAAAAUUGCGUGUUUGUCACUCUAGAAUUUUGAAAAUUUCUAAUUUAUGCAAUUUGAUCAUCAUUUUCGGCCAUUUCACUGCAGAAUUUCAACUGGUGGAUAAAGUUCACAGGUUUGUCUCUUUUUGACUAUAAGAGAGUCAAAUUUAUGAGUUAAAAAAUGUCUUCGGAGCGCCUUUGUAAAAUGAAAUAAUUGCAAUGACACAUGUUCAUCCAACUUUAAACCACCAGCUAACCUGACAAGCAGUUUUGCCCAGACCCAGAACUUGCUUACUGUGAGGUGAUUAAUGCGCAGCUAUCCGUUACAAUGGGUCUCUCAUUUAACAAAUCAAGCUAGACUAUGAAAGGGACAAGGUUAGUUAGUACUUGACCACGGUUUGCUCCUGCUAGACCGAGCAGUCUUUCCACUGAAAGCUCCACCCACAGACACAUUUUAAUGCUCACAUACAAAUCCAGAUAAAUAUAUAUCACACCUCACACCCUGUUGGCAAGUUAUUGGUUGAAUGCAUAUGAUUUCACAUUAAGAUCAUUCAAAGAGACAAGGCUUGCUUGAAAGAGAGUUAUCUUCAAAUGCCUAAUGGGUUUUAUGAAGAAAAAAAAUCAUAUAGGAAUUUAUACAUCAGCUUUGCCCCUUGUGUCCACCUGUGACUGAUUUCCUUGUACUGCACCCUUCGUAUUUCGCUACUCUAUCAGAUUUCAGGCUUCAAUUAAAUGAAACGAGAAUAAUGUAAAAUGUCAUUUUUCUAAUCUAACUCGGCAAGAAUGUAAACAUGUGUUUUCUUAAAUCCUACAUCACCAAAACAUUUAUGAAAAUGAACUGAUUCCCCAUGUGUGUUCAUACUAAUUCUGAACCUCUUCUCUGUCCUUCCUUCAGGGAUGGGGGAUUCUGAACAAAACAGCACUCCAUUGGUGCUGGGCCUUUUGUUCAUCCUAUUAUUCCUCCUUGUUGUGCUCUUUGUACUGUACAAGAAGCUGAACAGGGAGGCUGAAGGGGAAUAUACAGUCCGACGCAUCGUCUACAAGGAAGGAGGUCUCAGGGACCAGGCGAGAAGUGCAGCGUUAGCUGUGGGGGCACGUCUUGGGGUCCAGCUGUGGCCUGGAAGUGAUGAAGAAGAGGAAGGGGAGGAAAUGCAGGAAGUCCAAGAUGAAGAAGAACAGGUGGAUAGUGGUGGUAGUCAGGAGAGUGACACAGAGGGAGAUGAAGAGGAGGAGGACAACGACACUGGUAAUGCUAAGGAGAAAGAAAGUAAUACUUCAAAUGAUGACUCAAGUAUUGGGAGUUCAGAGGCAGGAGAGCAAACCAAACUUAACGAUGAGUCUGAGCCAGAGGGAGAGACGGAAGAUAAAAGUGAAGAAAAGGAGGAGAAAGUGGGAGAAGAGCAGAGUAAAGCUGAGGCAAGUGGAGGGCCGGGAUUGCUGAUAGAUCUAAAGCAGUUCUCUGGAAGUGCGAUCUGGUCUGAAGAAGGUGGUGAGGGUAAAGGUGACGUGACGGCGUUGUGAGAAUCAGAAAUAAUGAAUAAGACUGAGGAAACUGCCAAAUCAGGAUUUCACAAACAUCAGCUUCAUCCCCUAAAUGUCUCCCCACUGCAAAUUCCUUCUAUUAGUCUAAAAAAAUAAAAUAAAAUAAAAGAUACAUGCACCCACCCAUUAAACCCAAAGAGCUUUAAUCUUUCAUGACCUCACUGACCUUGCUUUCCUCUGGUCAAAUUUUUUUGAUGAAUAAAGCAGUUAUAUAAACAUACAGGGGUACUCUAGAUUGUAACUGUAAAGUGUAAAAAAAAAAACCAAUACUUGUCUAUACUUUUUUGCUUUAAAUGUUUAUUUUAAUCUACAUAAGAAAUUGAAAACUGGAAACUUUUUUUAGUGUUUUCUGCUCUGUUUUUUGUUGUUCUUUAUGCCGUUUGUAGAAAUAAAAAAAGAGUAGUAAUUAAAUAUAGUGAGAACAAAAUAAUGCGUUAUUUGUUUUAUUGAAAACAAGUGAAUGUAACCGAUCAAACUUUAAGUCAACAUACAUUUUAUAUGGUGUGUAAAUGGUUGAAAAUUUAAUAAACCACAUACUGAAA
ensembl:lncRNA